rnacentral:lncRNA from 1 species
CAGGGGCCCAUCUAUCUCCUACCUCAAAACUGGAACAAAGUUAGAAAUGUAAGAAUGUUCUGCAUACCUCCUGGGGGGAGAAGGGGGAAACUUACUGGAAUGUUGAAAGUAUAGGUGUAAUAUUUGUUCUGAGGAUAAGAGGAAUAUGUGAGGCUUUAAUUCUGGUAUCUUCAGAAAACCUGAGCAAACUCUCAGGUCCUGCAGAAACCACUUACUAUAAAAGAAGAAAUCAUAUUCAAGUAACACUCUUUAGAGUCCUGUAGAUUUGCAACAUGCAGAUGCAACACAUCUAGAAAACACUAUGCUACUUUACCAGCACACAUAAAGAUGAAACAGGUUCUAGAGAUGGUUUCAACUGGAUGCCAGAGUCUAGAGUUAAAGCCAUUCUCUCUCCUAGUUGGUCAUGGGUUGACUGACUGACACAAGACAUCAAUUGGUGUGUU